GACGAACGCUGGCGGCGUGCUUAACACAUGCAAGUCGAACGGAAAGGCCCUGCUUUUGUGGGGUGCUCGAGUGGCGAACGGGUGAGUAACACGUGAGUAACCUGCCCUUGACUUUGGGAUAACUUCAGGAAACUGGGGCUAAUACCGGAUAGGAGCUCCUGCUGCAUGGUGGGGGUUGGAAAGUUUCGGCGGUUGGGGAUGGACUCGCGGCUUAUCAGCUUGUUGGUGGGGUAGUGGCUUACCAAGGCUUUGACGGGUAGCCGGCCUGAGAGGGUGACCGGCCAAAUUGGGACGGGGAUACGGCCCAAUCCUUUACGGGGGGCAGCGGGGGGGAAUUUUGCCAAAGGGGGGGAAGCCGGAUGCAGAAACGCCGCGGGGGGGAUGACGGCCUUGGGGUUGUAAACCGUUUUCGCCUGUGACGAAGCGGGGGUGACGGUAAUGGGUAAAGAAGCACCGGCUAACUACGU
rnacentral:rRNA from 1 species